CGAUAGAAGUUGGGCAGCUAGGUGAGCGGCUCAUUCUGCGCCCAACCAGCGACGAAGAUGUCUCGCUCCGCUACCCUCGUCGUCCUGCUGUGCCUCGCGGCGGCGUCCUGGACGACGUCGUCCGCGGCCAGAAUCGCGGAGAGCAAUGGCAUCUCGGCCGAGGUCGCCGAGGUAGAGCCCCAGGUCGAGCUGGCUGAGAACUUGGUCGCCUUCUCCCAAAAGCCCCUGGGAUGGGGCGCGUCGAGCACCUCUAGGUACAGGACAACCACGCCGAAGUACACCACGAGGAGGCCGACUACGAGGAGGACGACUACGAGGAGGCCCUCAACAACAACGUCCAGGUCUCACGACCAGAGCAUCACCUGGGGGGGCGUGUACCCUUAUGACAAGCAACUCGAAUCAAAAACGGUGUACAAGGCGGCAACCUACUUGCGGGUCAACACCGAGACGGUGAGCAUCAGCUCCCCGUACGCCACCAUCCACUGCAUCCAGGUCGUCGACCAACUGCGGACCGGCAAGAACGCCGCCGUCACAGUGAAUGUAGGCAUGGGACAGCGCAGCGCCAGCCUCAAGUUCGAGAGCAAGCGCGGGGAGAAGAUCAGCUACCUCCUCAUCGUCUGGGGCAAAUAGGCGACGCCAAUCUAGCAAAUAACUCAUGUUUCCUAGAACUGAAAACGGAAAAAAAACAAACAUCCAUGUACGUGAUUUCCAAAAAUUCUUACUUAUGUUACGAACACGCCAAAAAAGAACAGAUGUAAACGGGGAGAAGAUCAGGAGUGCAGGGACACGUCCAAUAUGGAGCAGGUGGCCAUUUGUCUGCGUACACUUGACAUAUGGGCACGUUACAAGCAGCCGAAUAUUUCAUAGGCCUGUACGCGACCAGUGACACGCGACGGGACAGGCAUUGCCAGACAUAUUUUUAGACGUCCUUAAACGCAUUUCCCUCCACGUUUCGAAUCUAUCCGUCCAAUGCUUCUACGGGGCGUCUAACACGAAAGGGGAAUUUAAAGGCGUGCAAGCGAGACUCAAAGGGAUGCAGCCUCUCGCACUGUUUGUCCACUGCUUCGACCAUUCGCUGAACCAACCUCUGCAGGACACCAUGAAGGGGUUACCCGGCGCCCGUGAUGCACUUCAGUGGAUCCACGAUGUCAGCGUGAUAGGGUGAUUCUCAGAAUACGGGCCGUUUAGAUUCCGCGGCCCGUCACAACUAUGUGAUAUGGUUUUCAAAGGUUUUUAUGCCAUCUAGAUACUCGAAAGCACUAAUACUACCUGGUGCAACACUAAAAACCUAAGAAUACUGCAACAGCAGGUGACUAGAGCAGUUUAAAUGGUCAAAAUGUGAACUCCAGUACGUUCCUUAUGUCUGAGUUCAUGCGGACUUUGCCAAAUUCCGGACAAUUUUAAGGGAAUAGUCGUCUAAGGCACAUUGCAUUUCUGGAGUGACAUAUCCGGGGAACGCAAGGAAUGAAUUUCGAUGUGGAAAUAUUUUUCUAUAUUUCGUCCGGAGACGACAAAGUCGUUCUCACUAACUUUUUCAAAAAGUAACAGAGUUCACAAUGUUUCCACUGACGUCCAACUGGGCAGAGGUAGAGUAACAAUACUACGCCCACAGUACUACUCUGUGGGCACUAUUAAUGUUCCCCGAAGCAAUCAGCAGAGCUCCUACUUCGUCAUCGUAAAAAACUGUCUUCAAAUUCGAAAGUUGGCUUCUACGCUUUUGCAGUGUGAAUACCGUGUCGCCUCCACACAGGCACGAUUGCGUCAUAUCAAAUCCCCCUUUCUAUGGAAAGGAAGGUUUUGAUGUGCUGCUUCUUUUAUGGCUAAGCAGAUCCUUGCAUCUGCAACCCCGGAUUAGUAAUGCUUCAAUUAGUACCUUUUGACUUGUGCACUCCGUAUCCCCUUUUUUAGGUCUGACCUUUGUUUAAAAACUUUUAGUUACAGGCAACGCGUUGUAAUGACCUAAUGAGGAAAUAUGUGGGUUAAUUUAGAACUGUACAUUAUGAGGUUGGGCAUCUGUGGAGCAGUGUCAGUGGGGCGAAAAACAAGUUAUUUAUUGCAAUGUUCUAGUCAUACUAAAACGCAUAAAAUGGGGAUGACUGGAUGUGAAAUAUGUGUACAACACACUUGUGGAGCAAACA